UACGUAGGGACCAAGCGUUGUUCGGAUUUACUGGGCGUAAAGGGCGCGUAGGCGGCGUGGUAAGUCAGUUGUGAAAUCUCCGAGCUUAACUCGGAACGGUCAACUGAUACUGCUGUGCUAGAGUGCAGAAGGGGCAAUCGGAAUUCUUGGUGUAGCGGUGAAAUGCGUAGAUAUCAAGAGGAACACCUGAAGUGAAGACGGGUUGCUGGGCUGACACUGACGCUGAGGCGCGAAAGCUAGGGUAGCAAACGGG
rnacentral:rRNA from 1 species